rnacentral:rRNA from 1 species
AGUGAACGCUGGCGGUAGGCCUAACACAUGCAAGUCGAACGGCAGCACAGUAAGAGCUUGCUCUUACGGGUGGCGAGUGGCGGACGGGUGAGGAAUACAUCGGAAUCUACUUUUUCGUGGGGGAUAACGUAGGGAAACUUACGCUAAUACCGCAUACGACCUACGGGUGAAAGCAGGGGAUCUUCAGACCUUGCGCCAUUGGAUGAGCCGAUGUCGGAUUAGCUAGUUGGCGGGGUAAAGGCCCACCAAGGCGACGAUCCGUAGCUGGUCUGAGAGGAUGAGCACCCACACUGGGAGGGAGACACGGCCGGGAAUAUUACGGGAGGGAGCAGUGGCGAAUACUGGACAAUGGGCGAGAGGCAGAACCAGCAAUGGGUUGUAAGGCAUUUUUGUCGGAGGAUAAAAAAGGUCUUUUAACCCCGAGGAUAAUGACAGGACCGGAAGAAUAAGCCCCGGCUAACUCCGUG